UACAGAGGUCCCGAGCGUUGUUCGGAUUCACUGGGCGUAAAGGGUGCGUAGGUGGUGAGGUAAGUCGGAUGUGAAAGCUCCAAGCUCAACUUGGAAAUGGCAUUGGAAACUACCUUGCUAGAGGGUUUGAGGGGGGACUGGAAUACUUGGUGUAGCAGUGAAAUGCGUAGAUAUCAAGUGGAACACCAGUGGCGAAGGCGAGUCCCUGGACAGUUCCUGACACUGAGACACGAAGGCCAGGGGAGCAAACGGG
rnacentral:rRNA from 1 species